rnacentral:rRNA from 1 species
AGUGAACGCUGGCGGUAGGCCUAACACAUGCAAGUCGAACGGCAGCACAGUAAGAGCUUGCUCUUACGGGUGGCGAGUGGCGGACGGGUGAGGAAUACAUCGGAAUCUACUUUUUCGUGGGGGAUAACGUAGGGAAACUUACGCUAAUACCGCAUACGACCUACGGGUGAAAGCAGGGGAUCUUCGGACCUUGCGCGAUUGAAUGAGCCCAUGUCGGAUUAGCUAGUUGGCGGGGUAAAGGCCCACCAAGGCGACGAUCCGUAGCUGGUCUGAGAGGAUGAUCAGCCACACUGGAACUGAGACACGGUCCAGACUCCUACGGGAGGCAGCAGUGGGGAAUAUUGGACAAUGGGCGCAAGCCUGAUCCAGCCAUACCGCGUGGGUGAAGAAGGCCUUCGGGUUGUAAAGCCCUUUUGUUGGGAAAGAAAAGCAGCAGGUUAAUACCCCGCUGUUCUGACGGUACCCAAAGAAUAAGCACCGGCUAACUUCGUG